rnacentral:rRNA from 1 species
UACGUAGGGGGCAAGCGUUGUCCGGAAUCAUUGGGCGUAAAGAGCGUGUAGGCGGCUCGGUAAGUCCGCUGUGAAAGUCCAGGGCUCAACCCUGGAAUGCCGGUGGAAACUGUCGAGCUUGAGUCCGGAAGAGGCGAGUGGAAUUCCUGGUGUAGCGGUGAAAUGCGCAGAUAUCAGGAGGAACACCAAUGGCGAAGGCAGCUCGCUGGGACGAUACUGACGCUGAGACGCGAAAGCGUGGGGAGCAAACAGG